GCAGAAAGGUCGCCGGGGCAGGAAGUGAUGUCAUAAGAAUUUGUGUGCCAUGUCUUGUCUGCUGUAGAAUUUUUUUUAUUUGUUUUUUUUUACACCAAAUCUGUUUUACUGUGAGGGAUGUAAAAUAAAGUUGAGAAAGUUUUUCAUACAUUUAUUUACAUGCCAUACAUCAAUUUCUUUUUGUAAAAUUAAUUUGUUUUGUCUGUAUGGUAUAGUUUGUGUAUUUCACAUUUGUACAUAAAAUUUAAAAUAGUUCAUUGACAUUUUGCAAAUUGCAAAUUUGCAAACAAAUCAAAGUUGUUAAGGGAUUUAUAUAUUUGUAAGUACACUGUGUAUUGGCAUUGAAUUUUGUUUGUUAGAAAACACUUGAGUUGGCACUGAAUUUGUAAGUACAUGUACAUUGAUUUUGUAUUGGUUGAGUUGUGACAAAUUAUACUUUUUUUUUCUUUUAUUGGUACAGUAGUUUAAGUUACUAGGCAUCAGGUAAUGCAAUCUUAUCAGUUUUCAAAAAUACCAAGUGAUCUUUUUUAAAAACAUUUUCAUCAUUUGUACCUGUACCAGCAAUCAAAAGAUUGUAAGGUUAGUGCAGUGAAGACUGAGGUAACAAUGGAUUAAUGUUGACUUACAAAAUCAGAAUGUAUACAAAUAUAUAUCAAUUGUGUCAAUGACUGAAAAAUAAAUCACUUUGAUAUCC
rnacentral:misc_RNA from 1 species